CCUACGGGAGGCAGCAGUGAGGAAUAUUGGUCAAUGGCCGAGAGGCUGAACCAGCCAAGUCGCGUGAGGGAAGACGGCCCUACGGGUUGUAAACCUCUUUUGUCGGGGAGCAAAGCGAACCACGUGUGGUUCAUCGAGGGUACCCGAAGAAAAAGCAUCGGCUAACUCCGUGCCAGCAGCCGCGGUAAUACGGAGGAUGCGAGCGUUAUCCGGAUUUAUUGGGUUUAAGGGGUGCGCAGGCGGAGGGGCAAGUCCGCGGUGAAAUUGCGGGGCUCAACCCCGGACAGCCGUGGAAACUGGAUCCCUUGAGUGCGCGAGAAGUAUGCGGAAUGCGAGGUGUAGCGGUGAAAUGCGUAGAUAUCACGCAGAACUCCGAUUGCGAAGGCAGCAUACCGGGGCGCAACUGACGCUCAUGCACGAAAGCGUGGGUAGCAAACAGGAUUAGAUACCCCGGUAGUC
rnacentral:rRNA from 1 species